GCUGUUUAUGUUAUCGUUCACUCUUGGUUUCAUUUUGCAUGUGGUGAAUAAAGGGUACCGAGUCUUGGAAGCUUCUCAGAAGUGUUUGCAUGCUUUCUUUCCUCCUCGGCUCUUGCUUUGUCUAUCAAAGCCUUCAUGUUGUUGUUAUAGCUUCUCAAGAACAAGAUACAACACAACCAAUGGAGCUGGAAGAGUCAUUCCUGAUACUCUUUUCAGCAUUUUCUUCAAGGUUUGCUAAAAAACGUUACAAGCCGAGUUUUCUUUAAUGCUAAUAUGGUUCAAAUCAUCUGCGGGAGAUAAACCAUGCUGGUGCUGGCUGAUUAUGGGCUGAACUCGUUAGCGACAGAGGGCUUGAAGCUGGUGGGCAGAACACACCGUCUAAUAUAUGACCUUUGUUGGUGAUCAGUCAUCGGUAGUUUUAGCUACGGACCGUUCAUUAUGCUUUGAAGACAUUGGAGCAGCCCCAAUUUGGGUGUUCAACAACGGGAUUAGUCAUAAGAUGAAGUUGAAACCGCCAGUAUUCAUGCCCUUUGUUCAAGGGUGUUUGUGUGUUUCUGUCUGAAAGAAAGUGUUUUCCUUUUGUCACAGAUAUACACUUCUGCUAGCAGUUUGUUUUCCAUGUAUCAUCAAUUCGAUGGCACUUCAAAGGGUCCAAGGGUGUGGUUGUUAUAGAUUAUAUGAGGCUUUUUAGCGUUAUCUUUGCUCACUCGUGUAACUUUUUUUUGCGGGAUUUUGUCAGUGAGUAUGCUGUGACUGGAAAAGAUGCUGUUGGGUUCCUCUUAGAUGGAGGUAACCCAUUGGGUUUGGUUUUGACAACCAAACUUGGUGUUGGGCAAUGGUAUUAGCACAUGAGGUUAGUAUUGGGCCUUGGGAGUUAAUGACCCAUAAUGUAAGUCUCCUAACCUAAUUUGGAGAGUGGUUGCAGACACAACACGAGCAGACAAGAUCAGACUCACAAUAAUAGAGUUUAGAGAGAGACAAAAGAGAGAAAGAAGAGAGAAGGAGGAGAAAACUUGUCAGGCUAUUUCAAGACUGGUUUUGGAGGUUCAAACGGAACUUGAUCAGGCUGAUAUUUUA